GACAGAGGGUGCAAACGUUGUUCGGAAUUACUGGGCGUAAAGCGUGUGUAGGCGGCCAAGCAAGUCGGAUGUGAAAUCCCACGGCUCAACCGUGGAAGUGCAUUCGAAACUGCAGGGCUAGAGUCCUGGAGAGGAAGGUGGAAUGCUUGGUGUAGAGGUGAAAUUCGUAGAUAUCAAGCGGAACACCGGUGGCGAAGGCGGCCUUCUGGACAGUGACUGACGCUGAGACGCGAAAGCGUGGGGAGCAAACAGG
rnacentral:rRNA from 1 species